AGCAGCCGCGGUAAUUCCAGCUCCAAUAGUGUAUAUUAAAGUUGCUGCGGUUAAAAAGCUCGUAGUUGGAUUUCGGAGUUGUUAUCUGAACCUUCUCGCCCUAAAAAGUGGGGGGGCUAAGGUAGCAGUAGUUUUCAUCAUAGUCCAUCAGGAUACUCUCUUGAUGUGUACUGGGUGUUAACCUCCUUUUUUUCUGGUACUUGCUAUCCAGCAAUGGGUAGCUUUGUCCAGAUAGUUUACUUUGAAAAAAUUAGAGUGUUCAAAGCAGGCAUAAUUGGCAUCAUGAAUACAUUAGCAUGGGAUAAUAGAAUAUGACAUUGGUCUUAUUUUGUUGGUUUCUAAGGCCAAAGUAAUGAUUGAUAGGGAUAGUUGGGGCCGCUCGUAUUGAGUUGUCAGAGGUGAAAUUCUAGGAUUUACUCAAGACGAACUAAUGCGAAAGCAUUCGGCAAGGAUGUUUCAUUAAUCAAGAACGAAAAGUUAGGGGAUCGAAGAUGAUCAGAUACCGUCGUAGUCUCAACCAU
rnacentral:rRNA from 1 species